rnacentral:rRNA from 1 species
ACGGAGGGUGCGAGCGUUAAUCGGAAUUACUGGGCGUAAAGCGCGUGCAGGCGGUUCGCUAAGUCAGGUGUGAAAGCCCCGGGCUCAACCUGGGAACUGCGCUUGUGACUGACGGACUGGAGUACGGUAGAGGGGGGUAGAAUUUCACGUGUAGCAGUGAAAUGCGUAGAGAUGUGGAGGAACACCGAUGGCGAAGGCAGCCCCCUGGGCAGAUACUGACACUCAUACACGAAAGCGUGGGGAGCAAACAG